rnacentral:rRNA from 1 species
UGUAGUAUUUUGACUAUACAAAGGUAUUGUAAUAAGACUUUAAUUGAGUGCUAAAAGAAUGGAGUUUCAAAAAAAGUCUAUCUUUAAUUCAAAAAUUGAAUUUAUUUUUAUUUGUGAAGAAACAAUAAUUAAAAUUAAGGACAAGAAGACCCUAAGAAUUUUUAAUUUUGUAUAUAUAUAUAUUUAUAUAUACAAAAUUUUAAUUGGGGCGAUUAAAAAAUAUAAUUAACUUUUAAUUUUAAAAAAUGAUCCAUUAUUAAUGAUUUAAUGUAAAAAAUACUCUAGGGAUAACAGCGUAAUAAUUUUAGAUAGAUCUUAUAGAAAAAAUAGUUUGCGACCUCGAUGUUGGAUUAGGAUUCUUUUUUAAUGAAGAAGUUAAAAUAAGAAGUUUGUUCAACUUUUAAAAU